ensembl:snoRNA
ACGCAUCUAUUUGACAGACCUGAAGCAGUUACUGUCUGCUAAGGUUUACACUACAGAUGCAAGAAAAACAUCCUCGUGCUUUCUGCCUGUCUGAUUGUGGCAGCCCAGAUUGAAUGGGGGAACACAGGG